UACAGAGGAGCCAAGCGUUGUCCGGAUUGACUGGGCGUAAAGCGCACGCAGGCGGUUGCGCGCGUGGGGUGUGAAAUCUGGCCGCUUAACGGCCAGGCGCCAUCCCAUACGGCGCGACUGGAGCGAUGCAGAGGUCGGUGGAAUUGCCGGUGUAGUGGUGAAAUGCGUAGAGAUCGAUGAGGAAGACCAGUGGCGAAGGCGGGUCUCUGGACAGUUCCUGACACUGAGGCACGGAAGGCCAGGGGAGCAAACGGG
rnacentral:rRNA from 1 species